UACGAAGGGUGCUAGCGUUGUUCGGAAUCACUGGGCGUAAAGCGCGCGUAGGCGGCCAUACAAGUCAGGGGUGAAAUGCCGGAGCUUAACUUCGGAACUGCCUUUGAAACUGUAUGGCUGGAAGAUGAGAGGGGAGUGCGGAAUUUCUGGUGUAGAGGUGAAAUUCGUAGAUACCAGAAGGAACACCGGUGGCGAAGGCGGCACUCUGGCUCAUUCUUGACGCUCUGGCGCGAAAGCGUGGGGAUCAAACAGG
rnacentral:rRNA from 1 species